CACUCCUCAAGUGCUACAGAUUCACUCCAUCCAAUCGUAUCCAUUCUCACAUUAGCUAUGCCGGGGAGCAGAGGAGUGCUCAAAAGAAGCUGAGGCAGACCUCGAUGCCAUUUCAUUUGCAUUUCGUCCAUUAUGCAACGCGUUUCUCUGCGGUUGCAGAGGAGUGAAAAUGAGCUGAACUCCAGUGACCUAUCCAACGAGGAACCCCGCACCAGCCCACCAGCCCACAACACUCUGCCGGCUGUACCGUGGAGCAGCAGCUGAGGAAACACGUACGAACAUCAACAAUACAGACGCUUCUCCAGAUUACCCAACGAACACACUCCUCAGUGAGUCAAAGAGCGCUGGCACUGCACAGGAUCACAUGCUAUUGCGAAACAAAUCUGGGUUCAGUGUCCUCUGUUAGAGGAAGGAUGGAGGGCAGCAGACCUGGAGCCAGGUGUUUUUCCACCUUCCUGUCACAUCAUGUGUUAGUGACACAAGUUAAUGAUUAUUGAUUUGCUCGAACCAGAUGAAGAUAUGAAAGUCAAAGUGGAUCUUUCCCCUUCCUCUGUCGCGGGUGGGCAGCUGUCCUUGACAGAUCUGCAGACAAGACAAGGAGUGGAGAUAGCUGCUGCAUUAUCUCAGUCUGCCAGGAAGACCGAAACACUGUUCCUGCUUUAGUCCUGUUAGGAGAGCGCCUGGUCCCAGGGCCUCUGAUCCUCUUACAUCACCAGCAGUUUUAUCUCUUACCCCAUACGUACAAAUCCAGUCACAUCAAACACACACACUGCGUCAGCAUGAACACACACACACACACACACACACACACACACACCCCCCCCACACACACACACACACACGCACACAACACCUCCCAUGUACCUGCCAGAUUAUUUCAUAGUUUCUUUCCAAAAUAGCCUGAGAAUUUGAUCUUUUUUUUUCUUUCCUUCUUCUAAUCCUAUAGCAAAGAGCGGACCAGACAGGUUACAUCACAUCUCAGAGGAGGGAGCUGUAGAUAGACUUAAUUAGGAGGAAAGUCAGCUUGAGAAAGUGUUGCUUGGAAAAAAAAUGAAAAGAAUAAGUUAAGAAACAUUAAAGCUCUACAUUACAGACUCUGCACCCAAACAUCAUUGACCGCAACUAAAGAUUAGCUUUUGUACAGAUUUAUCUGCUGAUAAUUGUUUGUAAAUAUCUGAGAGGUAAAAGAAGAGAAGCUCAAACUACAUAAACAAACCUAACCAGUCAUGAAACAUACAUUAUGAUUUUUUGUUUUCUGCACGUUUCUGAAAGACUUUUACUAGACUUUUAAAAAAUCUGUCAUGAACUAUGGAAUGUUUUUUGGUGUUUUAAUAAUGCCAAAACCUGCUCUUAAUAAGAUACAUUACCAAGUGUAUUUUUUAUGACAGUAAGUGCAAAACACCAGUAAAAUUACAAAUACAUUUUGCCAGUUACAUAACAGAAAGGGGGUAAACAACAUCAAGCUGAGAAGUAUCCAUAGUAGGCUGUGGGCCUCAGGAUGCUCUGCUCCCAGAUGGUGAGAGGAGAGCGAAGGCAGAUGGUCAUCUUCUCCUGCUCCCCCUCUGAUUAUUCCCGAUUUGAAAAACUCUCUGAUGCAAAGUUGCUGUCAAGUCGCAUUAAAGAUGUAAGAUCUGCUGCAGCUCUGCGAGUUGAUUAACUUGUUUUCCUUCCAAACGUGGACGUUUUUAACCCUGACAUUCAUCUUAGUCAUUUUAUUGACCAGAUUAUUUGAGUUUUUUUUUUUUGUUUUUUUUCACGGCACCUCUCUGUCAACAUCCCAUCAAUCAGCAAUGAAGGGCAAUUUCCUUUUUUCUGACCUCUCGUGAUUGAUAAGAAUUAAUCAUAAGCGCAUUUACAGCGUAGUGCUGAGCUAAUGCUGCGUCAGGAUCAAAGUGUACAGCACCCAAUAACUAAAAUCUCGAUCUAACACCCAGUUUCCAGGUCAGUGCUGGAAGCAAUGUGCAUUGCGUAAUAUUUUUAACACAGUGACAGUGGCAGCAAAAACCAGUGAACUAGCUUACUGAAACAAACAUGAGAGUAAAGAAGUAGUGCAUGCAAAUGUAUUUCUUUCUGAAUUUUGACAUUUUGUGCAUGUCGGUUUUACAGGUGUUCAACAAAUAACACAUCCUGGUGCAGGAAGAAACAUCCAGAUUAAUAAUUAAUA